UUGCAGCAUCUAGAUUUGGAAAAGGAAUUAGUCUAAUGGAAAAUGAUUUUAUAUUUUUUCCAGUCAACAAACCCCAACAUUGGUCACUAUAUGUAAGGAGUAAAUGUAUUCGAAGCACAGUGAAGUCCAUUGAAGUGAAGUUAUGACAGUUAUACAGUGGAGAGUGCAUUAGUGGUUUUUUGAAUCAUCAGCAGAAUAAAUUUGUAAAUUCAGCAAUAGAUAACAAUACAUGGAUUGAGCUUGAUGACAUGCAUGUAGUCAGGCAUGGCCUGACCCUUGCGAAAACAGAGGGUCAGGAACCUCGUAUAUACCAGUCUUGUUAGCUGCUGCAAAAAUUCUGCAGUGACGCAUUGUGACUCGCUAUGACUAUUAACUUUAAUAAUCAUUAAUAAUUGAAAAUGGAUGUUGGUGCUGUAGCUGCUAAUCUUCUUGGUAUCCAUUCUCUGCAUUUGCAUAUUCUUCCAGACACUAUAAAUUGUGACGUAAAUAAAAAAUCUGUAUAUAUGUUGGGAAAAUUCACUAAAACAAUAAUUUGGUCAGAGAUAGUUGCUUCUUUAAUAAUAAAUAAAUUUGAUGUUACAUAUCAAGUGGCAAUAGAGGCUGUCAUUAAUAAUACUAUUCCAUCCUAAUUUUAUUCUUUUAUGUUAAAUUGUUCAUGUACUAGUAAAUUUAUGCAUUAAUUUAUAGGCUUAGAAAGGAUAUUAAAUCUCGACUGGUUG
rnacentral:lncRNA from 1 species